CCUACGGGGGGCAGCAGUGGGGAAUUUUGGACAAUGGGCGGAAGCCUGAUCCAGCAAUGCCGCGUGUGUGAAGAAGGCCUUCGGGUUGUAAAGCACUUUUGUCCGGAAAGAAAUGGCUCUGGUUAAUACCUGGGGUCGAUGACGGUACCGGAAGAAUAAGGACCGGCUAACUACGUGCCAGCAGCCGCGGUAAUACGUAGGGUCCAAGCGUUAAUCGGAAUUACUGGGCGUAAAGCGUGCGCAGGCGGUUGUGCAAGACCGAUGUGAAAUCCCCGAGCUUAACUUGGGAAUUGCAUUGGUGACUGCACGGCUAGAGUGUGUCAGAGGGGGGUAGAAUUCCACGUGUAGCAGUGAAAUGCGUAGAGAUGUGGAGGAAUACCGAUGGCGAAGGCAGCCCCCUGGGAUAACACUGACGCUCAUGCACGAAAGCGUGGGGAGCAAACAGGAUUAGAUACCCGUGUAGUC
rnacentral:rRNA from 1 species